rnacentral:rRNA from 1 species
UUCGCAAUGCCCGAAAGGGUGACGAAGCGACGCCGCGUGCGGGAAGAAGGCCUUCGGGUUGUAAGCCGCUGUCGGGAGUUAAGAAAUGUAAGGAUGUUAAUAGCAUCUUUGCUUGACUAAGGCUCCGGAGGAAGCCACGGCUAACUCUGUGCCAGCAGCCGCGGUAAUACAGAGGCGGCAAGCGUUGUUCGGAAUUAUUGGGCGUAAAGAGCACGUAGGCGGCUAUGUAAGUCGGUUGUGAAAGCCUUCCGCUCAACGGGAGAACAGCAUCCGAUACUGCAUGGCUUGAGUGCGGGAGGGGAGAGUGGAACUUCUGGUGGAGCGGUGAAAUGCGUAGAUAUCAGAAGGAACGCCGGCGGCGAAAGCGGCUCUCUGGCCCAUAACUGACGCUGAGUGUGCGAAAGCUAGGGGAGCAAACGGGAUUAGAUACCCCGGUAGUCCUAGCCGUAAACGAUGGGCACUAAGUAGAGGGGUUUUA